GGGAUUACAGGCAGUGCAUCACCAAACCUGGCUAAUAUAAGCAUGUUCUUUUUGGGAAAAUGGGAAAGAUUGUUUUCCUAACCUCUGUGAACCACAGCUACCCACAUAAGUGCCUCUGGAGGGGAAGCUGAUGAAGAGAGGGGGCCCUUCGCCUGAUCAGUGACCAAAUCUGCAAAUGCCGAUCACAUGGAAAACACCGCGCCCUUGCCAGUGUGCAUGCGGCCUCUAGCUUUUGCUCUUAUUAGCUAGUGUUGACCAGCGGUACAAAGCAAACAUUGUGAAAUGCUUAUGGAGUUUAGAAAUGCUGCUGCGCUCCUCGAAUGAUGGUAAAGUUGCAGAUCUUACAGUAAGAGGCUCACAUAGGAGAGCUUUGUUCAGUGCUGCAGGGAAAGCUUCCCAGAAGGGCUACUGAGGAGUUCCGGCUGCAGCGCCUGGGGAACAAACGUGCGCCUCCUCGCACUGCUCCACCUCGGGUCCUGAAGAGGUUUGGGCUGCCAGCAGAGGGAGAGUGAGCUCCGAAGACGGUGAGAAGGAACUUGCGGGUGUUGCUUUGGCCCAGAUCCGCGCCCUGAAAUGUGCAAGUGUGCAGAUUUGUGCUUCGUGCUCCGUGCAGCGGGGAGCACACAGGCUUCCAGAGGAGCUCGUUAUCUUUUGUCUUCUCUACCCCAGAAGGAAAGUGGUGUUUGGAAGACAAUUAGCCGCUGAGAGGUUGUAGCGGCAACGUGUGAAAAAUGUUAAAAGGAAAACCUAUAUUUAGCCUUCCUUUCAAAAGUUUUCCUGACCCGUUUGUGUUCCCGAAAUAAUUUAUCAUAAUUGGCAGACAUGCGGACCAAAUGGUUUAUAAUUCGAAGGGUUUUGUUAUUUGCCCUUUGCUUUUUAAAUAUGCAACUUUGGUUUCCGUACCUUUUGUUUUUCUUGUGACUUAUUGACAUAUAUUAUUAAUCAGUGCAAUCGGUUUUUAAAGUGUGUAUUAAAGUGAAAGAAACCCAGUUUACAGGUCAGAUUACAGAAAGAAAAGCUAUGCAGGAGUAAAGAUGAGCUUAUCUCUGGAAAUAUUUUCUGGAAAACAAUGGCAUAUGCAAAACUGUGUUAUCCACACGAAUACUAAUAUAUCAUAUGUGUCUUGUAUAUUGACAUGAAUAUAUGUGUGGGGUGUUGUUAGGGUCUUUCAGACAGAAUCAUUGUAGCCACUGCAAGCAGUUUAACCAGUGUAUUUUAAGUACACAUAUUUUAGGUAUUUUACAUUUUAAAAUACAAAACAGGAGAGAGAAUUUACUUACUUGAAAUAUACAGAAAAAUCUUUUUUUUUACAUUUAGGAUACCACAAAAACCAAUGGGCUUAAAGUAGAAGAAUAUUUACUUUUUAAGAGUGGACCAGGGAAAGAGAGCUGUUGGACAGAAUGAACACACUGUGACACUGGAGAGAAGCUAGAGGUGCUCUGUAUAAUUUGUUUUGUCAAGUCAUUCAGAUAAAAAAGAAAAAAUUGAUAUAAUGAACCUUCAUUUUUUGAUGGAAUUCUUGAAAGAAUAUGUUGCAAUAAAACUUCGGUUCAUAAGUACUUCUGUUUGUAAACAAUCUGUAUGUAUGGUGAGGAAACAGCAAAUAGAAGUGUGUGACAAAAUUUUCCAUUCAUGAACUCCACACUGCGUGAUGAACACGACUGUGGCCAUCUUCCCUGGAAUCAUGGAGUGAAUUAGAUUAGCAAGCUGAGUGGACAUACAAGAAGAAAGUUGUGUGGUCAGGAUUUGGACCCAGGAUUGUAUUUCUUCAUCUUCAAAACAAUGACAUCAGCAUCUAAGGACACUCUAGUUUUAACAUCUAAUUUUAUGGUAUUGGCAUCCAACAGGACUGUGACAGUAUUUCCAUCUCCAGUUAAUAAACCAAAGAAAUGAUUUUUGUAGUCAACAGACCUGUCAGUCAUAGUUUGUUCUUCACUGUGGUUGCAGGUAGUCUAGUCCAUGGUCCUUGACUCCAAAGCAGAAACAUCAUGGCAGAAGGGCAAGGCCAAGCAAAGCAGAGGACUGGGAAGAACACCAGGGAGGGAUAUAGCCUCCAAAGACACACAAGCAGUGACCCACCUCCUGUACCUGGACAGGUAUGGACAUCAGCUAUGGACAUCAGUGGAUUAAUCCAUUUAUCCAUAUAGUGUCCCCUGAUCUAGCAAGCUCUCUAGGAGUGUCUUAAUUCAGGCAAGCUGACAAAUUAGCUGGCACAGUGGGUAAAAUAAUUCAAUAUGAGUAUAUUAAUAGACACAGGAGCCCUUUUCCUCCCAAGAAGUCAGCUUGAGUCCAGUUUGAGAAAUACAGUCAUGCAAUCCUUACCAUACAUGAUGGAUGUAUCAGAGCACCAAUUUGACAGACGAGGAGCUGAGAUAACCUCACCUUUUCCAAGGUGCACACAUACAAAGUGACAGCCCCUUGCUGUAAGCCGUCUGUGCCUGAUCCCCAAGCACUUUUGGUCACCCAUCUGUCCAUAUCCUGAGCUACCCUGCAGCAAGGCACCAGGAAGACCCAAAUACAGGGUGAUACAGGAGGCAGGGAUGGGGACAGAGUUAUUGCAGUGGCUCAACUGGGCCCCAGAGAGGGUCACUGACCUUUUGUUGUGCAGGAACCAUGCUUUUAAUCUUAGCAGAACAUGAAAUGUUUUCCAAUUAGCGAUUUUCUAGGCUUUGGCUGCAGCAGCCCAGUCUUUGUUUCUUCCGGACAUACAGAGGGGCUUUGUCUGAGGCUGGGAGCCAGCAGUCAUAUCCCAGAAGACCUCAGCAGACCCCUGCUGGGAAAGGAGCUCUUCCUGGGCAGAGGCGCCUCCCACUCCUGAAUGUGGUGGGGCCAGCGUGGUCGGGCUUUCUGAGCCUGGAGCUGCCUGGGCUGCCAAAGUCAGGACUCAGGACAGGGUGGAGUGGCAGGGCCAGAGAAGUCUUGUAAUUCGAAGAGUGCUCCAGUCUGUUUAAGGCCCAGCCAGCCACUGGACUGUUAAUCAAGUCACUACGUCAUGGUGGGAGCCCUUGGGGAGGAACAGAAGGAAACCGGGUGACAUUCUCCCUCAGUGAGAUGCAGCUAAAUACAGUCUAUCUUGCAAAGAGGAACACCAGCAGGCCAGCUAAUUUUGGAAGCUGUAACUAAAAAUCUAAAUUGCCUUGAAAGCGAGUGGUAAUCCGUGUCAGGUGCUGUGUUGCGAGCUGCUUGCCCACACUGUCACUGAAUCUUCACAACACCUAAGGAGGCAGGAAUGACUCUUUCAUUUAGAGCUAAACAGACGGAAGCUGGAAGAAGACAUGAUGUCAUUUCCUCUAAACGGUAAAGUUGGAAGUGGCACUUCUCCUCAAACAUCUGCUUUCUUUUGAAUACACUCGCUCAGUGACCGUGUGCAGUGGAACAGCUCUUUUCAGGUUCAAGAGCAGCAACUUUCCUUGGAGUCUCCACUCAGCCCACAUUUCUAGAUGAUCUUCAGUGGACGCUGGCCAGAGCCCGAUGUGGAAUCAGCAAAGCAGUUAUUUUCCCUUGUGUUAUUCUCUCUUGGGAUCGGGACCUGCAUGCUUGUUAAGUCCAUAUUAUCUUCACAUAAUAUUUUAUGCUCCUUGGGGGAGGGACCAUAACGAAAUAGUCGUCAAACCCCAUUAUUCUUAACAGGUUACCUUUAAAUUAAGGGCUGAUUUUAUGACAUGCACCUAUUUUAUAGGAGUCAUUUUAUGUAGUUCAUUAAGAGAUGACAUAGGCCCCCAAUUCUAAUGAAAACCUUUGCUUUGUAAGCGUGCUGUCACAUUGGAUGCUUCCAGUCUGAUCCAAGUUAUGCCACGGGGAUGAGAAUUAUUUGACCUUAUUUCAGAACUUUAAAAUAUGGACAAGAGAAGCAGCAGUUAUAAUUGAUUGUUUCCAGAUAGUUGAAUGGAAAAAACACUGCAGAGCAUCUCUCCAAAAGGGCCAGGUGUGGUUGUGCACACUUACAACCUCAGCACCGGGGAGGCUGCUGCAGGAGGAUCUUGACUUCAACACGAGCCUGGAACAGAGCAAGACUCUGUCUCAAAAGAAAAAAACAAAAAAACAAAAAACCAACCAAAUAAAAUAAAGUAAAACAACAGAAAGUAGUCUUCUCAAUGAGUUGAUAAGUUUUAUUUUAUAUCUCUUUAUGGGAUAGGUUUCUGUUAUACGUUCACUGACCAACUUCUGUGGUUUGUCACUUCCGCUGGGGAUAAUGAAUCUGUUACUUAUUUCCUAGAACAUAUGUGAAUGCUACUGACCUGUUGCCUCAGUUUGGGGCUGUAGCUUUACUCCUCAGAGUCUUAGUCUACUUUUUUUUUUCUUGCAAAUGCAGUAAUUACUCUUUUGAGGAAAGAUCUUGAGAUAUCUUGCUAAGCAUUUGGAACAAAAGUAAUUGAUCUCUAUUUCAGUACCUGAUACCAAAAUAAAUUUGAAAUGGAUUAAAUGUUGAAGUGCAAAAUAAAGUUGAUAAAAGUACCAGAAAAAAGUGCUAUUGUCUUUUUGGCCAGGAACUGGCCUUUCUAAAUUUGUUCUUAAACCGGGCAUGGUGGCACAUGCCUGUAAUCCCAGCACUCA